rnacentral:rRNA from 1 species
CAUAGGUUAAUGAGGCGAACCGGGGGAACUGAAACAUCUAAGUACCCCGAGGAAAAGAAAUCAACCGAGAUUCCCCCAGUAGCGGCGAGCGAACGGGGAGGAGCCCAGAGCCUGAAUCAGUGUGUGUGUUAGUGGAAGCGUCUGGAAAGGCGCGCGAUACAGGGUGACAGCCCCGUACACAAAAAUGCACAUGCUGUGAGCUCGAUGAGUAGGGCGGGACACGUGGUAUCCUGUCUGAAUAUGGGGGGACCAUCCUCCAAGGCUAAAUACUCCUGACUGACCGAUAGUGAACCAGUACCGUGAGGGAAAGGCGAAAAGAACCCCGGCGAGGGGAGUGAAAAAGAACCUGAAACCGUGUACGUACAAGCAGUGGGAGCCUCUUUAUGGGGUGACUGCGUACCUUUUGUAUAAUGGGUCAGCGACUUAUAUUCUGUAGCAAGGUUAACCGAAUAGGGGAGCCGAAGGGAAACCGAGUCUUAACUGGGCGUUAAGUUGCAGGGUAUAGACCCGAAACCCGGUGAUCUAGCCAUGGGCAGGUUGAAGGUUGGGUAACACUAACUGGAGGACCGAACCGACUAAUGUUGAAAAAUUAGCGGAUGACUUGUGGCUGGGGGUGAAAGGCCAAUCAAACCGGGAGAUAGCUGGUUCUCCCCGAAAGCUAUUUAGGUAGCGCCUCGUGAAUUCAUCUCCGGGGGUAGAGCACUGUUUCGGCAAGGGGGUCAUCCCGACUUACCAACCCGAUGCAAACUGCGAAUACCGGAGAAUGUUAUCACGGGAGACACACGGCGGGUGCUAACGUCCGUCGUGAAGAGGGAAACAACCCAGACCGCCAGCUAAGGUCCCAAAGUCAUGGUUAAGUGGGAAACGAUGUGGGAAGGCCCAGACAGCCAGGAUGUUGGCUUAGAAGCAGCCAUCAUUUAAAGAAAGCGUAAUAGCUCACUGGUCGAGUCGGCCUGCGCGGAAGAUGUAACGGGGCUAAACCAUGCACCGAA